rnacentral:rRNA from 1 species
CCUACGGGAGGCUGCAGUGGGGAAUAUUGCACAAUGGGGGAAACCCUGAUGCAGCGACGCCGCGUGAGUGAAGAAGUAAUUCGUUAUGUAAAGCUCUAUCAGCAGGGAAGAAAAUGACGGUACCUGAGUAAGAAGCCCCGGCUAACUACGUGCCAGCAGCCGCGGUAAUACGUAGGGGGCAAGCGUUAUCCGGAUUUACUGGGUGUAAAGGGAGCGUAGACGGCAGUGCAAGUCUGGAGUGAAAGGCGGGGGGUCAACCCCCGGACUGCUCUGGAAACUGUACGGCUGGAGUGCAGGAGAGGUAAGUGGAAUUCCGAGUGGAGCGGUGAAAUGCGUAGAUAUUAGGAGGAACACCAGUGGCGAAGGCGGCUUACUGGACUGUAACUGACGUUGAGGCUUGAAAGCGUGGGGAGCAAACAGGAUUAGAUACCCCAGUAGGC